CAUUUUUCCUGUGUAGUUUUUGUGUGUUCUUUGUUGUUUGAUUUUGAGAUGAAGUCUCCUUCUGUCACCCAGGCUGGAGUACAAUGGCGUGAUCUCGGCCCCCUGCCACCUCCACCUCCCGAGUUUAAGAGAUUCUCCUGCCUCAGCCUCCCAAGUAGCUGGGAUUACAGGCGCCUGCCACCAAGUCCAGUUAAUUUUUGUAUUUUUAGUAGAGAUGGAGUUUUGCCAUGUUGGCCAGGCUGGUGUUGAACUCCUGACCUCAGGUGAUCUGUCUGCCUCAGCCUCCCAAAGUGCUUGGAUUACAGACAUGAGCCACCAUGCCUGGCCUAGUUUUGUGUCUUAUUUAAGGAGAUUGUCUUUAUUCCAAUAUUAAUAGUUCCCUGAAUUUUCCUCUAAUUUUUACUUUUUUUUAACCUUUAGAUUUCUAAUUUAUCUAAAGUUUAUUUUUAGAUGGAAGGGAUUUAAGUUUAUUUUGCUCCAGGAAGGUAAUUGAUAAUGCCAACACAAUUCAUUAACUAAAUCUUCCUUUUUUCAUUCAGUUGAGAUACCACUUUUAUCAUGUAUUAAAUUCCCAUACAUUUUUGAAAUUACUUCUUUUCCUGUGCCAAGAAUACUCUUUUCAUUUCAGUAGCUUCUAAAGGAGCUAUUAAUAGCUGGUGAAUCAAACCUCCCUUGCUAUUCCUCAAUUUCUAAAUGUUCUUAGCUAUUCUAAGACAUUUAUUCUUUCUGAUAAGCAUUAAACAUAUUUUGUCCUAUUUAAAAAGCAUAGUGAGGGAGCAUGGGCUCGAGCCCACUGUGCUUCCAGUGCUUCCUUGGAGGAACAAAAUUAAAUUAGUGAGAGGUGCUUCUUGCCUCCAGGGCACUCCCAGUGCCUGGCACACAGCAGGCUGGGUGUUUGUUGAAUGAAUGCACGGUUGACUGCUACAUCCACCCCACGACCUUAACACACACCAUCAGCCUUGGAAGCAGAACUCCGGGACAGAUCCGACGUGGCCACUGUCAAUAGCCUUGAAAGCAGGAAUGUUUGUCUCCGGUAAAUAGAGAAGUGGCAUCAGAGGGACAAGCUCCUCCGAAGUGUCAGGUGAUUUCCCAAAGGAUCCUUUGUGGGGAAAUAUUUAGGGAGCUCUAAUUUGGAAGUCCUGUUUUCCCCCCAAAUACCAGGACUCCUCCCCAUGCUCAGGGGGAAACUCUACUGCAAGACCUCCCGUUUCCAGCAGCCCAGCAGCCCAGAGAGGCUCCUCCCUGCACAGAAGGGCUCAGGGCAGAGUCCUCUUUCCCGUCACUGGCUGCAAUGCAUUGAGGAGGACCCCAAGGCGGGGCCUGCGCGUCUGAACUGCCUUGGACUCUGGGGCGCCCUCGCUGGAGCUCCCCUCCUGGAACCCAUUUCCUCCAGGAGAAACCUCAAGAAUGAAGACGGGGUCUAAGGCGUGUGAGUCCAGGGGGGCCCCUUGCUACCUCAAACUGAGAGUCUGUGAAGCUGUUCUUGCCUGUCUGGAACAAGAAAAGAAGAUAAACAUGUAGUAAAAUAUAGGAAAACUUGAUUGAAGAACUAGUGCAUUUUAUCUUUGGUGACUUUUUGCAAAGCCAGAUCUGAAAAGGAAAAAAAAAAAAAAAGUCCUGCUGAUGCACUUCUCCUUCCUGCCACCAUGUGAAGAAGGACAUGUUUGCUUCCCUUCAGCCAGGAUUGUAAGUUUCCUGAGGCCUCCACAGCCCUGCAGAACUAAUCCCUGGUGGACUCUCCCAUUUGGUGGCAUUACCUGAUUAUCUGUGUGCCCACCAUGUAGCUCCCGGGCUCUCUGCCCACGGCUUGUUCUACAUCAGAAAGGGAAACUGCAGUGACCCCCUCCCUGCCCUCCGGAGCCUCCUUCACCAUCGAGGUGGCUUGGAAAACCCAGAUGUAAAAGCUUUAAGGCAGAAGGGGGAAAGCACUGCGGUAAUAAGGAUGAAACUGCCCGCAGCAGGUGCUGGCAAAGUCAGCUCUCGGCGCCUUGUUCUUCCCGUUUGAUCACCGCUUCUCAGCCCUCUCCUCCUCCCACCUCCGCACCCACCCUGCCCCUCUCUCCUCUCUAUGGUCUUUGUUUUCCUCCCUCCCCUUCCCCAACACACAUCCAUGCAUGUUCACACACAUAGAUAAAGGUCUCGCCUUUCAAGACAUUUAAAAUAAAGUUGGAAGAAAUAUAUGUAUAGUGUAAAGAACA